rnacentral:lncRNA from 1 species
CAGCGGUCUGUGCAUCAGGAAGCAGGUCUCCGUCAGACACAGACCCUGCUGACACCUUGAUCUUGGACUUCCUAGCCUCCAGAACUCUAUCUCCUCCUUAACCUCAGGCCUGGGUUUUGAUAUCAACGGCUCAACGAAGCUCUUCUGACCAUGCUAUCUCAGCUGAUGAACUUGUGGAGGGCAGAGGCCAUGUCUUCCCUUUCCAGUACAUAGCCAGGCUCCAGCUCAUUCCAGACACUCAAGACAUGACUGCGUUAUGGAAAGGAAGAACUACCAAACCAGAGAAGCCAGAAAGGAAGAAUGAAUUUCAAUGUUGCCUGUGUAGUUUAAAUUUCUCACAGACAAAAGUUUUGGGGUCUGGCAAGAUUAAGCUUCUAAACCACUGUUUUCUAAGGCCUCUUUCUGCUAUCAGUCUGGAACAAGGAGCUGGAGGAAGUGGAGGCAAGGCGGAAGGAGAAAAAAGAAUCAUCGAACGUUUGUGCAUGCAGAAGAGUUAGAGUCAUCUUGGGAGCUAAAUACAAGAGUCAGAACAAUCGGGAAAUCAUAAUUUUGGCAGAAAGACAAAGCAGACGAAAAGAGGAUGCAGUUGCCAAAUGGCUAAUCAAUGUAUGUGGUUAAAAUUCCAACUUAAAAAAAUGAGGAACCAGAUCUGCAAAAACUUAAGAGGUCCAGGCGAGUCACGGAAGGGGAAGACCAGAUCUGGGACGGCUACAACAAGCAGGAUCCAACCACACAAGCUAACUUUUUCCUCAGCCAAUGGCCUUUAAAUAUUUUCUGUAAUAUAGGAACCAGUAGUAUAUACAGUAAAAUGCAGCCGUUAAUUC